CCUAUGGAGAGUACAAGAACUUGUGAGUAGCAUAGUGCAAAAGCAUACUCGAUGAAGUAGGAA
rnacentral:ncRNA from 1 species